GAUGUCGAGAUGGAGAUAGGGAAGUGAUGUAGAGAUGAAGAUAGGGAAGUGAUGUAGAGAUGAAGAUAGGGAAGUGAUGUAGAGAUGGAGAUAGGGAAGUGAUGUAGAGAUGGAGAUAGGGAAGUGAUGUAGAGAUGGAGAUAGGGAAGUGAUGUAGGGAUGGAGAUAGGGAAGUGUGAUGGAAUUGUAAUUCCGGAAUUUUCUUGUUUGCUCGUUUUGCAGUUGUUAGUUUUUUAUUUCGAAUCACUGCUUUUCCCGCAAACACGCUGUGUGAAGUUUUUUAGUUUUUCGAGCUAUCAAGAGCCAAAGAUAUUUCACCCUCUCAGGAGGAGGCAGAAUAAAUUUGGAACAUUAAAA